rnacentral:lncRNA from 1 species
GCACCAUGACCAUGCCAAAAUUUGCCAACCUGGGACUCAAUGGGAGCAACCAAACCAUCCUCUUCCAUAUCGGGCUUCAUGGCUGUUGGUGAACUCAUUAUGCAGGAACCUCAGUAGAAUCGUCGCCCUGUAGAUUUGAACGAAACGUCAAGGACAGUAAAGUCUCCAGCCACACUCCAAACGGUUGACGUUCCUAGGAGAGUUCAGCACAACAUUCACGGAAUAAAUAGUAUCAGGUGGAAGUACGUCGUAUCCUGGGCCACAACGUCUAGAAGGUGUAAUCACUACACGUUCUGAUCUACCGACCAACCUUGAGGUCACAUCAAAGCGCCGAGUUAGCACCAAAUACUUCGUACAAUUGGAUACUGUCGUCAGGUUUAAUUCGGCUCCACGAUAUGCUCGCAUUCAUUCGGAAGUGGUGAGCAGAAUGACGCUUGUCAAGAAGUGUCAGGUGUGCAACAUGUCCCGCGGUAACAUGUCAGCGGGUGUUUGGCGGGGCCAUCUU